CGUUCCAAUGACUUGGCUGCAUCAACACUCGCGGCGCUACAUAUAGGAUUUGAUUGAUGUGGCAAUAUUGGAUUGCUUCGGCCCAACGAUCACGCCCACCUGCGUGCACACCUAACCGUAAAUGUAAAUUCAACCAUAAGCAGGCACUUGGAAAAAUUCCGUGGUAUUAUUCCGUGGAUUAUAUGGACAAGUUUCCUUUCUGAGGGCUUUUGAAAGUGAAUAUAAUGUGAGCUAGAAAAGUUGGGAAUUAUAAAUAAAUUAUAUUUUCUAAAUAUACUACGAUCUCAAGCUCUUAUGCCUUAUUCAGCUGGAGAAUGUUGCCAAAAGUGAUAAAACCAGUUAGUUCUGCUGUGGGACAAGCGGUUUAGGCCAGGGCCAAAAAACGAAUGUCAGUCAGCCAGUCAAUGGUCCAAACGAAUUUUUAUUGUUGCCUGUCAAAGGCUGUCUUUUCGCUGCCUUUCGGUUGUUGCCAAUUCAGUUGUUGCUGUUGUAGUGCUUGUCAAUUUGUGGCCAACUCACGGAGGAAUGCAAUUUUCAUUUCGACCAAAAGAGUACAUAUGUGUAAGUACAAGUAAGUACAAGUUGGGCUAUAUUUUGACAUUUUUCAAACAUGCAAAGACCUAAACGGCCAUUGCUCCAGUGAAAUGAAUACCGACCUCAAAAAUUCAAUUUCCGCUUUUCACUAAAUAAAACUGAAAAAUAAAACGACAUCCAUUG